rnacentral:tRNA from 1 species
GCCGGAGUGAUGGAAUUGGUAGACAUGACGGAUUCAAAAUCCGUUGCUCUUGCGAGCGUGGCGGUUCAAGUCCGCCCUCCGGUA